rnacentral:tRNA from 1 species
UUCUCUCGACCGCCUCGACGAGAGUCCUGUCCAGAACCGUUACGCACAGAGUCGCGCC